rnacentral:lncRNA from 1 species
UAGGAUGAUUAUGAUUCAAGGUCAUCGUUUGAAGCUAGUCCUGUCAAUAUAAGAUAAAUGGGCCCUCAUCUUUUUCCCUUCUUUACGUCUGUGCUUUUUAAACUCUUCUGUGUAAAAGUUCCAUAGCUAUAAUUAAUUUUUAGUUCUUCUAUUACAAAGCUGCUUAAAAAAAAGAACAAAGAUUUUGGCUACCAAAAAGUUAAACUAAAGAGCCUCUGCACAGCAAAAGAAACUACCAUCAGAGUGAACAGGAAACAUAGAGAAUGGGCAAAAAUUUUUACAAUCUACCCAUCUGACAAGGGGCUAAUAUCCAGAAUCUUCAAACAACUUAAACAAAUUUACAAGAAAAAAUCAAACAACUCCA